AUAAUGAUACUUCCGGAGAGGCUGCUCCGGUCUGAAAAGAUGGUGAGAUACCAAUGA
rfam:Lachnospiraceae bacterium 2_1_46FAA genomic scaffold aclXT-supercont-complete, whole genome shotgun sequence.